GGGGGCGAAUGGAUUCGACGGGACUGAAGGCAUAAUAAGCAGCGUGCCGUGGUUUCUCAGGUGUCCACGUAAAACAAGCCUGAGGUUGGAUAAGUGCCAACUAUAACUACGCUGUUGCCUAAUUGAUAGGCAACCGUCCUGCCUAACCUUGCCUGCGGGUUAGGUGAGGGCGUCAGUUAGCAGGCUGGUUCAUUACCCUUGCCUGUGGGGUAAUGAGCAAGAUUCAACACAGGCUGGCUUUCCUGGAGCUUGCCCAUUGGCGAAGGGAAAGCGAGAUUAUUGCAAUGGGCUACGCACGUAGAAGCUUAUUCUGCCUCUUUCUCGGACGAGGGUUCGAUUCCCUCCGCCUCCACCA
rnacentral:tmRNA from 1 species